rnacentral:rRNA from 1 species
AUUGAACGCUGGCGGCAGGCCUAACACAUGCAAGUCGAGCGAGCGGCGGACGGGUGAGUAAUGUCUGGGAAACUGCCUGAUGGAGGGGGAGAACUACUGGAAACGGUAGCGAAUACCGCAUACAAUCAGAGGUGCCCAGAUGGGAUUAGCUCGUAGGUGGGGUAACGGCUCACCUAGGCGACGAUCCCUAGCUGUGCUGAGAGGAUGACCAGCCACACUGGAACUGAGAAACGUUCCAUACUCCUACGGGAGGCAGCAGUGGGGAAUAUUGCACAAUGGGCGAAAGCCUGAUGCAGCCAUGCCGCGUGUGUGAAGAAGGCCUUCGGGUUGUAAAGCACUUUCAGCGGGGAGGCGUUACCCGCAGAAGAAGCACCGGCUAACUCCGUGCCAGCAGCCGCGGUAAUUC